rnacentral:tRNA from 1 species
GGGGCAUUAGUUCAGUGAGUAGAGCAUAGGUUUAAAUCCUGAUAGUCAUUGGUGCAAAUCCAAUAUGCUCCC